UCUUUCCAAGGAUGCUUGCUAGGGGAUGCUGCUGAUGGUGGUCCCGGUGUGCCUGGUUUUGGACGGAAAACAGCUCUGAAACUUAUGAGGAAGCACGGCUCGCUAGAAAAUAUAUUAAGUGCAGCGGCAAUUCGAGCGGUUGGGAAGCCAUACAUACAAGAUGCUCUCAAAGAGCAUUCCGUGUUGCUUGAGAAAAACAUGGAAGUUUUGUCCUUACGCAGAGAUAUUAACGUAGAGCUACCAGUUGAGUGGUGCAGGGAUAAGUCAAACGAUCUUGCUGCAUUGCAGUGGCUGGAGAAAGAACUUGAAAUGCUGCAUCGUGUCUAAAGAGAGAGAUAUUGACGUAGAGCUGGUGCUUGUCGAGGGAUAAGUCAAGCGAUCUUGCUGCAUUCCAAUGGCUGGAGAAGGAACUUGAAACGUUGCAGGUUUUUUAGCAGCGGCAAACUGGUCAGGCUCGAGGUUGGUCCCAUUUGUAUCUUAUGCCACAGAAGAAAACGCAGAAAAAACCAAGAGCUUGAUAGAGAGGAUUCCGGGCAGGCUUUAGAUGGUCGAUGGCUGGAUACAGAGGCAUCGGUGGGAAGUUCUCUCGCUCAAAACGAGGCGCUCAAAGAGCGUGGCCUUGCAAGGCGGACGCGUUGGUGUAUUCUUAAGUUCGUGCCUCAAGUGGAGAGAUGUGGAGCUUGGCUGGAUGGCCUUCAAGUCGGUUCUCAAGCUCGACGACGGAAC